rnacentral:rRNA from 1 species
GAUGAACGCUGGCGGCGUGCCUAAUACAUGCAAGUCGAGCGAUCAGACGAGGAGCUUGCUCCUCUGACGUUAGCGGCGGACGGGUGAGUAACACGUGGAUAACCUACCUAUAAGACUGGGAUAACUUCGGGAAACCGGAGCUAAUACCGGAUAACAUGUUGAACCGCAUGGUUCAACAGUGAAAGACGGUCUUGCUGUCACUUAUAGAUGGAUCCGCGCCGCAUUAGCUAGUUGUUAAGGUAACGGCUUACCAAGGCAACGAUGCGUAGCCGACCUGAGAGGGGGAUCGCCCGCCCUGGAACUGAGACACGGUCCAGACUCCUACGGGAGGCAGCAGUAGGGAAUCUGCCGCAGUGGGCGAGAGCCUGACGGAGCAACGCCGCGUGAGUGAAGAAGGUCUUCGGAUCGUAAAACUCUGUUAUUAGGGAAGAACAAAUGUGUAAGUAACUAUGCACGUCUUGACGGUACCUAAUCAGAAAGCCACGGCUAACUACGUG